AUUGAACGCUGGCGGAAUGCUUUACACAUGCAAGUCGAACGGCAGCACGGGGCAACCUGGUGGCGAGUGGCGAACGGGUGAGUAGCGCAUCGGAACGUGCCCAGUAGUGGGGGAUAGCUCGGCGAAAGCCGGAUUAAUACCGCAUACGACCCACGGGUGAAAGCGGGGGACCGCAAGGCCUCGCGCUAUUGGAGCGGCCGAUGCCCGAUUAGCUAGUUGGUGGGGUAAAGGCUCACCAAGGCGACGAUCGGUAGCUGGUCUGAGAGGACGACCAGCCACACUGGGACUGAGACACGGCCCAGACUCCUACGGGAGGCAGCAGUGGGGAAUUUUGGACAAUGGGGGAAACCCUGAUCCAGCCAUGCCGCGUGCGGGAAGAAGGCCUUCGGGUUGUAAACCGCUUUUGGCAGGAACGAAACGGCGCGUGCGAAUAACGCGCGCUAAUGACGGUACCUGCAGAAUAAGCACCGGCUAACUACGUGCCAGCCGCCGCCGUAAAAC
rnacentral:rRNA from 1 species